GAUUUCAUGAUGUUUGACUGUUUUUUAGUCAAAUACAAGUAUGUGGGACAGGAGUGUUUGGUGGGAAGGGUAUAGGGGACGAAGUAGGGGAUAGUGUGUUAGAAACGGGUAUGGCAGUGGGUGUAUGUGUUGGGUUAGGUGGAAUAUUAGUGGCUGAAUCAUGAGUGGGUGUGGUGUGUAUUUAGAUUAUAGAAAAUAUGAGGAGAAUGGUCAGUGUCAAGAAAAGAAUAAGAGGGGUGAGUGGUAUGAGUUGAGGAAGAGUAUGGGAAAACAAGUUUUUUUUUUUUUU
rnacentral:lncRNA from 1 species